CUCAUCCAGAGCAGUGGAGGGACUGGCCCGAUGAAGCUGCGGCAACCAUUGGCUUUGCCAAAACGGUGCCAAUUCCUUUAGGUAUCUGCCUAUAAGAUGAG
rnacentral:ncRNA from 1 species